GGAGCGUGUUCACCACUCAUGAUCUUUAUUAUUUAGAAAUCACAGAAAAUGAAGAGUAACCAAUAGGAGAUGUUCCUUUUGCAUUCUCUUCCUGAAAACGAUUACUCAGUCUUUCAUGAUUAAGGUAAAUAGGAGUAUCCACCAAUCAUACGUAAGAUUGAAUAAUAUUGGAGCAUGGUGUUUGGAGAAAAAGGCUGCGUGGUCAGAAUUAAAGGAUAAGGAAGAAUGGAAAAUGGUGGAAAAUGUCACUAGCAUGUUAUGUUGCAUAUGCCAUCUUCACGUUACGUGCAUCACACAAAACAAGUUAAGUUGCCACAUUUAAUUUGCUACGCUAAGAAUCUCCCUUUCUUUAUUCACAAAAACUUCACUGUGCA
rnacentral:sRNA from 1 species